AUUGAACGCUGGCGGCAUGCCUUACACAUGCAAGUCGAACGGCAGCACGGGAGCAAUCCUGGUGGCGAGUGGCGAACGGGUGAGUAAAGUAUCGGAACGUGCCCAGUCGUGGGGGAUAACGUAGCGAAAGUUACGCUAAUACCGCAUACGAUCUAUGGAUGAAAGCGGGGGAUCGCAAGACCUCGCGCGAUUGGAGCGGCCGAUAUCAGAUUAGGUAGUUGGUGGGGUAAAGGCUCAUCAAGCCGACGAUCUGUAGCUGGUCUGAGAGGACGACCAGCCACACUGGGACGGAGACACGGCCCAGACUCCUGCGGGAGGCAGCAGUGGGGAAUUUUGGACAAUGGGCGAAAGCCUGAUCCAGCCAUGCCGCGUGCAGGAUGAAGGCCUUCGGGUUGUAAACUGCUUUUGUACGGAACGAAAAGGUUUGGCCUAAUAAGCUGAGCUCAUGACGGUACCGUAAGAAUAAGCACCGGCUAACUACGUGCCAGCCGCCGCGGUAAUAC
rnacentral:rRNA from 1 species